UGGUCCCUGCCUGACCGAAUGCUGACGUGAUGCGUCAGCGGCUUAUGUAGGUCUGGUGGGGUCCG
rnacentral:ncRNA from 12 species